rnacentral:lncRNA from 1 species
ACAACUAGGGACCGUUUGGUUCCUUGCAGUUGUAACUGCACAAUAAUUAUAACUAUAUAUAAAUACAAAUUUAAUAUUUAAUUUGAUGUAUUUAACUCUAACGGCUGCAGAAGAAGAUUCAACUGCAGCAGUUGAAACUACGCUCAAAUUGUCCGUAAUUUCAACUGCAGAGUCAGAAAAAGUAAUCUUUAACAAAAGGUAAAAGAUAAGCUUACCUCCUUAAUUAUUUUUUAAACAAAAAAUAAAUUUUCAUCUAUACUAAUCUAUGAAUCCCCAAUAUCUUGCUGACAUGGCAUUACCUCCUUCUUUCAAAACUCCUUCCUUUCAUCUCCCAACCUCCAAAACCUCUCAUCUUCCAAAACCGUUCCCUCCUCAUCUCCCAAUAAAACCACAAUUAAAUGCAUAUAAUUGCACCAAAACUAUUCCCUCUCAUCUCCCAAACUCCAAAACUCCUCAUCUUCCAAAACCGUUUCCUCCUCAUCUUCUAAUAAAACCACAAUUGAAUGCAUGUACUUCAACAAAAUUUUGUAGAGUUAUUGACCUUCCACCUGUUGAAUUGAGAGCGCAAUAGAAUAGAAGGUUCGAUUCCUUAUAGCUCUACUUCUAGCAGUAGUUUCUUUUUUCAUUUUUCACAUUUAAUUUGUUGUUCGCUUGGAGCUUAGGAAAGCAUUUUUGGGUGUUUUUUUUUUUAUUUUUGGCAUAUUUUAUGUUUUUUUUAAUUCGUUCUAAUUUCUCGAAAAGUUCCCUUUUGUUUCAGAAAGAUGAUUUUUUUUUGUCUUGAAUGUUUAGAAUAUUUUUCCCAAUAUUAUUAUGACGAUUUUUUCUCCCUUUUUUGAGAAGCUUAUUCAAGGGGCUUUUUAUUGUUGGUUUUAUUGUUGGUUUCUAUAUUUUUCCUCUUAAAUAUAAACCGACACUAAUAUGACACUGAUAAUAUUGGAUUAUUAUCAUAGUGUAUUAUACAAUAAUUAAAAUAUCGCGUCGAUGUAGUGUGUGUGUGUGUAUAUAUAUAUAUAUAUAUAUAUAUAAAUAUACUCUUCAUCUUAAUUACAAGACUCCUAUCAUCAUUUUUUAAAGAGUAUUCAUUUUCAGCCAUUUAUUUUUGUGUCCACUCGAUGGAUAAGAGAACAAUAUUGAAAAUAUAUGAAAUUUGAUUUCUAAACACUUCAAGUGGUAUAGAUCAUGCUCAGCGGNAGCCAUAUGAAAGGUCAUAUGUAUUGCAUGCCUAGCAUUCCUCUAUUGUGAAGGGUAAAUUGCAUGUUUGGCCCACCUUUUUUUUUUUUUUCCAAAUUUUAAUUUAUUAUAAUUUUUAAUUUGAACUUUUUAAAAUUAUUAUAAGUAACUCCUAUAAUUCAAUUUAGUUUAUUAAAUUUUAAUGCAUCAUUAAUAUAAAAAUAAUAUAAUAUUUUAAUUAUUUGUGCAUUAUUAAUUACAACACAACUAUAUCACUUUUACAUUAUCGAUAUAUCAAUAUUUAAUAAACUAAAUUGAGUUAUAAAAUUUAAUUGUAAUAAUUCUGAAGUUGGAAUAAAAAAUUAUCAUAAAUUAAAAUUUCAGGACCAAAUUAUCACACGCGUUGUAGUGUAAGGACCAAACGUCCAAUUUAUCCAACUAUGAAUUAUUGAAUUUUGGUUGGUUUUUAGCCGUUCUAAGAGUGCACCGUGCACCAAGUGCAUGCAAUAGUUUCUUUUUUGAGUUGCCCAAUUUAGAAACAUCUGGAUGGGGCGAAAAGUUGCAUCUGACGAAUUUUUUUUUUUAGCCCCUUUUUUUUCUAACAUUAAUUAACUGAUGUGUCGGGGUUUAUGCGCACGCGGUAAAUAAACGAUAAUCAGGGGGUUCUAACAAGUGUGAGGCUACUCUGCCAUCGAAAGGAUGGAGUCUUCCAUGCUUCUAGUUCGUUUUUGAUGUUGCGACUUUCGAAUCGUCGAUCGGCUCCGUAAAACUUGAUCUAGAGUAUUUAAAGUAUCUAGAAAAUAAAUUUUAUGAUUUUUUGAUAUCAUUUGUUUAGUGAUCGAAGGGGUUCAAAAUCAAUAAUUUUAAUGAUCGCAGUGAGCCGUUUGCAAGUUUAACGGUGUAGAAAAAUCCAAAUCACGUGAAAUUUUGAUAGAAAAUUCUUUAUGCUAUAUAAAACAAGAUUAAUAUCUUUGAUCUAAAAUUUUAAUGUCAUAUUAUCACGUUUUGUAAGAUUUUUAUUUUCAGCCGUUGAUUUUGAGCCCCUUCGUUCACUAGGCAAAUAAUAUCAAAAAAUUGCAUAAUUUAUUUUCUAGAUACUUCAAAUACUCUAGAUCAAGUUUAACAGAGCCGAUCGACGAUUCGAAAGUCGCAACAUCGAAAACGAGUUGGAAGCACAGAAGGCUCCGUGCUUCCGAUAGCAUAGUAGCCUUACUCUUCUAAUAAUACCUGAUAUAGAAAAUUCUAAAUGAUGCGAUGAGUGCUGAAUUAAUUGUUACAGAGGACUAUUAUUAUUAUUAGCAAUAAUAAGACUUAAUUGUGGUGUUCUAGUCAAAGAAUAGUUUACCAAAGUAAGAGAAUUACAACUCGAGAAGAAUUCGACAAUUAAUAUUAAUAAUAAUAAUAUAAGAUCUAGUUUAAAUAGUUUGGUAAAUUAUUUACAUUCCUCCGUGCUUAAAUCUUAAAAUUUUAUCCUAGUCAAAUCUCUGUCCCUAGACUACAUUGGAUAACUAGGGACCGUUUGGUUUCUUGUAGUUGUAACUGCACAAUAAUUAUAACUAUAUAUAAAUACAAAUUUAAUAUUUAAUUUGAUAUUUUUAACUCUAACGGCUACAGAAGGAGAUUCAACUGUAGCAGUUGAAACUACGCUCAAAUUAUCCGUAAUUUCAGCUGCAGAGUCACAAAGAGUAAUCUUUAACAAAAGAUAAAAGAUACGCUUACCUCCUUAAUUAUUUUUUAAACAAAAAAUAAAUUUUCAUAUAUAUAAAAUAAUAAAAUUUUAAAAACUAUUUCUUAACUAGAUGCAACAAAACAAAUUAUUUAUAGUUACAAUAUUUUCUACUAUAUCCAACUAAAUAAGAUGCAUGUAGCUGCAACUGCUAUAUUUCCAACUAUACUGCAUUUGUAAUUAUAACUAACUAAACGACCCCUAAGGUUUUU